CUGUCGUAAAAUAAUUUCUCAAAAGUCUAACAAACUUAAGUGUGUAGGAGAUUGCAAUUUAUGGUUUCAUAAUGAAUGUGCAGCUGUUAAUGACGGUGAAUUGGGUAAGAACGAGGCUGUGAAUAUUAAUAAUUCGUUGUGCAAUUUGUGCAGUACCGGUACUGACAGUAAGAAUCAUGCAAUUGAUAAGUCGUCCGAUACCGGUAAGUCAGAAAACAGCGAUAGUGAUAAUUUUAGUCAGUGUUUUGAACAUAUAAAAAUUUUAACUGAACAAGUUUAUGAAUUAACGAUAAACCAGACUGAGAUGAGAAAACAACUUACUGAAUUACAAAAUGAAAAUGUCAAAUUAAGCUCUGCUUUGACUAGCCAUGGUGUGAUAAUCGGAGACAUUUUAACUUGUGACAAACAGUAUACUCCUACUGAGAAACUUAGAUUAGAUGAUAGUAAUAAAACUAAACGUUUACUUGGGAUCAACUUUCAAUCUUCUAAAAAAGGAACCAAUAAUUAUAAAGGCCUCAAGAGGAACAAUAAUAGUCGGAAUUUGACAUCGGUAGUAACUAGACCUGAAGUUUCUUCUGCUAGCAGAAACAUUAGUCAGCUGCAAGUUAUGGAUAACGAACAGCAGACGGCUCAGGGAGGAUCAGCUGUUCUAAGCAAAACAUAUGACGUAAAUAGGCUGCAGCCUAUUCCUAGCGAUAUGGAAUCAGGAAUGUAACAGUGUUGUUGACAUUGACAAAUAGAUGCGGUUGUCUGUUGAAAGUGAGGACAGUGGUGGAUUUGAAACUGUGAAAAAUAAAAGAAUGCUCAGAAGUGAGAAGCUAAACAGUCGCACUGCUGCUAGAAAACCUGGAAAAUUUAUUCUGGGCAGUGCUAUCAAAGAUAAUAUGCUGGGUGUCGUGGAAAAAUACCGUUAUCUUUUUGUUUCUAGGUUAGCCCCUAGUGUUGACUGUAAUUCAGUCAAGCAAUACUUGGUUGAGGGUGUAAAGGGAGAUUAUGAGGUCUCACAGUUGAGAAACAUAUAUCCCGGUUACCUGUCUUUUAAAAUUGGAGUGCCUGUAUCACUUUGGCACAAAGUAUUUCUGUCUGACUUUUGGCAUACUGGAGUGUAUGUGAGUCGUUUUCGUUUCCCUAAAGUACAUAAGGAAGAACACCUGCAAUCUUUUUUAGAGGAGCAGACAACCACAGAGGCAAACAUUUAACAGUGGGUCUUUCUGAGGGUAAGUGUAAAAUCCUUAAAUCAAAACAGUGGGGAAAUAAAAUCUCUAAGGAUGUAAAUAGCUCUUCUACAUUGACUUGUAUAAAUAGCCUAACUGUGUUGUUGUGGAAUAUUCAGAGCCUACCUAAUAAAAUUGACUAUUUAAACUUGUUAGCAUCGAACAACAGUGUUGAUGUUAUUUGUAUAACGGGGCACUGGUUGUCUAAAGUAGACAUUGUAAAUAUUGAUUUACCAGGAUAUAAAAUUGCACUUUUUUUUGGAAGAACUGUAACUGUGCAUGGUGGUGGUGUUAUUUUGGUCAAAAACCAUAUUGACUCACAAGUUUACCAAAAUUUACCCGAUGUUGCUGAGGAGCUUAUUUUUGAAUCGUCCGAGGUACAUCUGAAAACUUUUAAUACUCUGCUGGUGAAUUUCUACAGGUCACCUAAGUUACAGGUUUACUUCUGAUCCGCCCUCCCGCUCGCCACCAUGGGUGCUCGCUUCCUAAUUGUCUACUUGGGUGUGUUAGCGGGGAUGUGCGGUUUCAGUAGAGGUCUGGGUCAUGUGCAUCAUGUGUCAAGUUUAGGCACAUAAAGAAUGUGCUGGAGCAGACAAAGACAUUUAUGUCUGUGAUUUUUGUGGAACUGCAGAUUUAGCAUUGUAGCUGUUGAUGACUACUCCUUCCUUGUUUUCCUCAUCGGAUUCAAGACAAGACUUCAGAAAAUCAGCUGUCAGCCAGUCUGGGAUAUUGGGUUCUUCCAUUUCUUAACCUGUAAAAGCCAAGAUAGCAACUGUAGAUUCAAACAAUAAACAGAUUAUUUAUUUUCAUAAGUA